AAUAGAUACCCGGUAGUCCACGCCGUAAACGAUGAGUGCUAAGUGUUAGGGGGUUUCCGCCCCUUAGUGCUGCAGCUAACGCAUUAAGCACUCCGCCUGGGGAGUACGGUCGCAAGACUGAAACUCAAAGGAAUUGACGGGGGCCCGCACAAGCGGUGGAGCAUGUGGUUUAAUUCGAAGCAACGCGAAGAACCUUACCAGGUCUUGACAUCCCAUUGACCGCUAUGGAGACAUAGCUUUCCCUUCGGGGACAGUGGUGACAGGUGGUGCAUGGUUGUCGUCAGCUCGUGUCGUGAGAUGUUGGGUUAAGUCCCGCAACGAGCGCAACCCUUGUUCUUAGUUGCCAUCAUUUAGUUGGGCACUCUAAGGAGACUGCCGGUGACAAACCGGAGGAAGGUGGGGAUGACGUCAAAUCAUCAUGCCCCUUAUGACCUGGGCUACACACGCGCUACAAUGGACGGUACAAACGGUUGCCAACCCGCGAGGGGGAGCUAAUCCGAUAAAACCGUUCUCAGUUCGGAUUGUAGGCUGCAACUCGCCUAC
rnacentral:rRNA from 1 species